GACGAACGCUGGCGGCGUGCUUAACACAUGCAAGUCGAACGGAAAGGCCCUGCUUGCAGGGUGCUCGAGUGGCGAACGGGUGAGUAACACGUGGGUGAUCUGCCCCUUACUUUGGGAUAAGCCUGGGAAACUGGGUCUAAUACUGGAUAGGACCAUGCUGUAGGUGGUGUGGUGGAAAGAUUAGUUUCGGUAAGGGAUGGGCUCGCGGCCUAUCAGCUUGUUGGUGGGGUAAUGGCCUACCAAGGCGUCGACGGGUAGCCGGCCUGAGAGGGUGGACGGCCACAUUGGGACUGAGAUACGGGCCAGACGCCUACGGGAGGCAGCAGUGGGGAAUAUUGCACAAUGGGCGCAAGCCUGAUGCAGCGACGCCGCGUGGGGGAUGACGGCCUUCGGGUUGUAAACUCCUUUCAGCCAUGACGAAGCCCUUGUGGUGACGGUAGUGGUAGAAGAAGCACCGGCUAACUACGUG
rnacentral:rRNA from 1 species